UACACCGAGCAGACUCCCGAGAUAUUGUCGGCCGCACCUGCACAAGCAUUGGGCGAUGACUCCUCCACCGAGCGCUGCAUCCCAACCCGAGCUACAUCACCUCCUGCAUCAAGCUACACCGCCGAUCUGUACCUACACCGAGCAUGACGACAUCAUCAUGAUCUGCACCAGAUAUUCUUCAUCGAGCUGAAUCCCUGCACUCAUCGAGCUGAAUCCCUGCACUGGGUUGAACGACUACGCCAGGUUACGAGCAACAUACUUCUUCGGCAUGACAGGGCGUCGACACUUCGUCGUCAUGGAGGGACGCCUUCAAGUGACGCAUCAUCACCGCCAUGCCGCUGCGAUGCCAUCGCCGACACUUCAUCACCGUGGUCUUCAUCAACAUCUUCGUCAACACA
rnacentral:lncRNA from 1 species